rnacentral:rRNA from 1 species
AAGCCUGAUGCAGCGACGCCGCGUGAGGGAUGACGGCCUUCGGGUUGUAAACCUCUUUCAGUAGGGAAGAAGCGAAAGUGACGGUACCUGCAGAAGAAGCGCCGGCUAACUACGUGCCAGCAGCCGCGGUAAUACGUAGGGCGCAAGCGUUAUCCGGAAUUAUUGGGCGUAAAGAGCUCGUAGGCGGUUUGUCGCGUCUGCCGUGAAAGUCCGGGGCUCAACUCCGGAUCUGCGGUGGGUACGGGCAGACUAGAGUGAUGUAGGGGAGACUGGAAUUCCUGGUGUAGCGGUGAAAUGCGCAGAUAUCAGGAGGAACACCGAUGGCGAAGGCAGGUCUCUGGGCAUUAACUGACGCUGAGGAGCGAAAGCAUGGGGAGCGAACAGGAUUAGAUACCCUGGUAGUCCAUGCCGUAAACGUUGGGCACUAGGUGUGGGGGACAUUYCACGUUUUCCGCGCCGUAGCUAACGCAUUAAGUKCCCCGCCUGGGGAGUACGGCCGCAAGGCUAAAACUCAAAGGAAUUGACGGGGGCCCGCACAAGCGGCGGAGCAUGCGGAUUAAUUCGAUGCAACGCGAAGAACCUUACCAAGGCUUGACAUAAACCGGAAACACUUGGAAACAAGUGCCCCACUUGUGGUCGGUUUACAGGUGGUGCAUGGUUGUCGUCAGCUCGUGUCGUGAGAUGUUGGGUUAAGUCCCGCAACGAGCGCAACCCUCGUUCUAUGUUGCCAGCACGUGAUGGUGGGGACUCAUAGGAGACUGCCGGGGUCAACUCGGAGGAAGGUGGGGACGACGUCAAAUCAUCAUGCCCCUUAUGUCUUGGGCUUCACGCAUGCUACAAUGGCCGGUACAAUGGGUUGCGMUACUGUGAGGUGGAGMUAAUCCCAAAAAGCCGGUCUCAGUUCGGAUUGGGGUCUGCAACUCGACCCCAUGAAGUCGGAGUCGCUAGUAAUCGCAGAUCAGCAACGCUGCGGUGAAUACGUUCCCGGKCCUUGUACACACCGCCCGUCAAGUCACG